rnacentral:rRNA from 1 species
CCCGCUGAACUUAAGCAUAUCAAUAAGCGGAGGAAAAGAAACUAACAAGGAUUCCCCUAGUAACUGCGAGUGAAGCGGGAAAAGCUCAAAUUUAAAAUCUGGCGGUCUCUUGGCUGUCCGAGUUGUAAUCUAGAGAAGUGUUAUCCGCGCUGGACCGUGUACAAGUCUCCUGGAAUGGAGCAUCAUAGAGGGUGAGAAUCCCGUCUUUGACAUGGACUGCCAGGGCUUUGUGAUGCGCUCUCAAAGAGUCGAGUUGUUUGGGAAUGCAGCUCAAAAUGGGUGGUAAAUUCCAUCUAAAGCUAAAUAUUGGCGAGAGACCGAUAGCGAACAAGUACCGUGAGGGAAAGAUGAAAAGAACUUUGAAAAGAGAGUUAAACAGUGCGUGAAAUUGUUGAAAGGGAAACGUUUGACACCAGUCAUGUGGGUGGAAAAUCAGUCUUUUGCAUUGGGGAGUUGUAAGGGUUCGGACCGCAAGGCCGGCUUUUGCUUCAUCUUUGGUGUAAGUGAUGCACUUUUUCAUCUACAGGUCAACAUCAGUUUCUUUUGCUGGACAAAACUCCGAGAGAAGGUAGCAGCUUAGGCUGUGUUAUAGCUCUGGAGCGAUACAGUGAAGGGGACUGAGGUUUUCGCAGCGUGUGCUCUCGGGCAAGGCUGGAUGGGUGCUAUGGGAUCGUUCGGGGUACAAUGCCUGGCAUUUUGCUUCGUGUCCUUUCUAUACUCGCUCAACUCAGCUCUUCCGCGCUUAGGGUGUUGACUUAAUGGUUUUAAACGACCCGUCUUGAAACACGG